UACGAAGGGGGCUAGCGUUGCUCGGAAUCACUGGGCGUAAAGCGCACGUAGGCGGCUUUUUAAGUCAGGGGUGAAAUCCUGGAGCUCAACUCCAGAACUGCCUUUGAUACUGAGAGGCUUGAGUCCGGGAGAGGUGAGUGGAACUGCGAGUGUAGAGGUGAAAUUCGUAGAUAUUGGGAAGAACACCGGUGGCGAAGGCGGCUAUCUGGACUGUGAUUGACGCUGAGGCGCGAAAGCGUGGGGAGCAAACAGG
rnacentral:rRNA from 1 species